GAAGGAUGUGCGCCUGCGCCACGCCUCCACCCGCCGCAGACUGCUGCCAGGCUUAACGGUGCGCGGGUGUGUUCCGUGAGACUCCCGUUUCAUUGCCGGCCACAGGUGACAUUUAUGCAGCGAGAUUCCAGCGGCAGUGCUGUGGCUCGCAGACCUUCAGAUGUGACAAGCCCUGUAGAAAACAGAUGCCAGGAUCAUAACCACCAUAGGCAUCAGACAUUACAAGGGCGACUGUAUCAACAAUUUAACUGGUCCCUGGAUGACAUUGUGUAUAUUUACUUACUGCAGCAUAGAGGAGGUUCUGUAAAAGGUAAAGUUGGGAACAUGUGCUAUAGCAUGGUGGUGGGGCUAGGGUUGCAAAGGGUGGGAAAGUUUUAAGCAACAAAAAUAUAUUUCCAAUAGGUUAGGUCAAACACAUGACAUCCAGACACCUAUAGCAACUUAUGGCACUAGUUUCAUGUGUAUACUAGCUUUAUGGCAUUUUACAAGGUUUUAGCAACUUUGCCACAGCUGCUGGAAUCAAUUAACAAUGAAGGGAGGGGUAUGACUGUACUUGCAAACUCGCUGGAGGCUCUCAUGGCAUUGCAUGAGGAGGCGAAACCCUUAGGACUUUUCCAAAGACCAAGGUAUAGGUGUUUGAAGAGUUACUAGAGGAAAUAAUACAGUCUGUUCAUGUGUGUGGCAAGGGCAUUGAAUCAAUCGGUGGGGGCACGUUGCCUCACCCACCCUAUGAUGCCAGACUUGGGGGUUUCUUUGGGCAAGUCUCCAUGCAGGACUACUUCUCAUUCCAAUUACCUGAUGACUUGAUCGGGCCACGAACGCUGUGGGUGUUCCCGAGGUCACACAGGGUUGUCUUUUUCAUUAACAAUCCAGUGAGCAUGGUUGGCUUCUGGGUAGUGUGCCACAUGCCCAUAUAGCUGGAGCAGGUGUUGAUGGAGCAUCCCGAUAAUAGAUGUCAAAUCAGUCUCAUGGAGUAGUCGCCAGUUUGAGACAAAGUCAUCCCAGCAAUAUCCCAUGAUUUUGUGUAGGCAGUUAUUACCAUAGGCCUCUACAAGUUGUUAUUCAGUGUCCAUGUCUCACAGCCAUACAAUAAGACAGGGAGCAUGUGACUUGAUAAUCCAGAUCUUUGCCCUUCUGCACAAGUACUGACAAUGCCAUAUACUCAUGCUGAGCGAGUCUACAACACCAUGGGCAAAGACUUCCUUGAGAGACCUGCCAUUGUUCUGUUGUUGCUUUGCUCCCUGUCUUACUCUUUGUCUGUGAUACAUGACACUAUAGUCAGUUUCAUUCCAUCUGUCCACUUGCACAUUGUUGGUUCAUGAUUGCGUGAAGAUCAAUUUGGGAUUCAUAAGGACUAAGUUUUUUUGUAUGCAUAAACAUUCAAAUAUAUUAUUGAAAAAUAAAAAUGAAUAUCUAUCACAACAGUUGAUUUUUAUGUAUUCACAAACUAGAUAUGUACAGGUGCCACAUCUAUCAGAAUUCCCACUUUGGUGAUGGACAGAUGAAAUGAAACAACAGACUACAGUGACUUGAAAAAGGUGGACUGAUGCCACUGAUAAUAAGUGCCUGCGCAGAAUCAUGUGACAUCGCUGGAUUGAUUUUGCCAAACUGGUGAUUGCUCCGUGAGACUGAUUUGAGACCUAUUACCUGGAUGGUCCAUCAAUGGCAGCUCCGGCUAUAUUGGCAUGUGGCACGCUACGCAGAAGCUGGCUCUGCUAACCUGGCUGUUUCUGUAAGAGACAAUCCUGAGUGGAGGAGGCCCAAGGGGAUGCCCAAAAGGUUGGUGGCUUGAGCAAGUCUACAGUUCCUACCAUGAGGCACUUAUGAUGAGGAGGGGGCCCACAUGGUGACUUGCCUGCAGGGAACCCCAGUCUUGGCGAUAUAGGGUGGGUAUGGCAACACCCCCU